rnacentral:lncRNA from 1 species
CCAAAACUUAACGUGAAACUUAUAUGCAUUUCUAUCUCGAAAGGGAGUACGAAUUCAAGAGUACAAAGGUUCUCAAUUCUUCAUACAUCCAGCCCGUGCCAACGCUAGGGCGAGAACCAUUACAAAAUUCAAAGAUCUAGACUAAGCUAGUCUAUACAGAGCUCUCAUCCUUACUUGCCUUUCCCUGCUAAGGAAAACAAAACUAAAGGGAUGAGCUAAAAGCUCAGUGAGGCUCCAAUCACAUAAUCAAACAAUGAACUCAAUACAUUAACCAUAGAUAACUAAUAAUUCAAGUAACAUUUACAAUAUAAAGCAAUAAUACAUUCAUUAAAAGGAUACGUGCUCACGAGGAGCCAUUCGUUCAUUCAUUCAUUCUCCUUUCAUUCCCUUAUUCCUCCAAUCAUUUGAAAAUGCAUUUUUGUAAGUAAAACCCCUCAUUCGCAUUGACAUUCGUUCAUUCAUUUCAUUCACCCCCUCAUGGACGUUGGCCAGGCUCCACCAGACUUCAAGGUAAUACUCGAGUAUACCAAACAUUCACCCAGGGUCACCAUAUCGCCCGAUCGAGUCCGCUUCUGGCUCGAGUCGAUCGGUAACGAAGGACAGAGCCCAGUUCAGCCAAAAGACUUACAUUCAUGCACAAGUAACGUUUCAAUCGUUCAAUCAUUGAAAAUGUCACAAUCAUUUAGGUCGAGUGCGAUAAAGUACACACUCGCCUAGAAAACUCUUUUGGCAAUCAUUGAGAGCACUUAACACAUUAUCAAAUAUUCACAAUAAGCCAUGUAGUCAAGGGAAAUAUAACAAACAAGGAACACUCACCAAUUAUCCAAAUAAUUUACUCUCGAGCGUCGGGUUUGUUUCCUGGCUCACAGCUAUUUCCUGGGACAAGUUAAUAAUUUCAAUGUAACUAUAUAAUCUGUAGAUGAUCAUUUAUCAUUCUUACAUUAUUAUUUAAACUAUUAAAAUCAAGUUUGACCUUGAAAUACAAAUUUAACAUUCU